rnacentral:lncRNA from 1 species
GUUUCUUGUAGUUGGCCACCAGGUUUGCACACAUCUCAGGAGGGAUUUUGUCCCACUCCUCUUUGCAGAUCUUCUCCAAGUCAUUAAGGUUUCGAGGCUGACGUUUGGCAACUCGAACCUUCAGCUCCCUCCACAGAUUUUCUAUGGGAUUAAGGUUUGGAGACUGGCUAGGCCACUCCAGGACCUUAAUGUGCUUCUUCUUGAGCCACUCCUUUGUUGCCUUGACCGUGUGUUUUGGGUCAUUGUCAUGCUGGAAUACCCAUACACGACCCAUUUUCAAUGCCCUGGCUGUGGGAAGGAGGUUCUCACCCAAGAUUUGAGGGUGUAUGGCCCCAUCCAUUGUUCCUUUGAUGCGGUGAAGUUGUCCUGUCCCCUUAGCAGAAAAACACCCCCAAAGCAUAAUGUUUCCACCUCCAUGUUUGACGGUGGGGAUGGUGUUCUUGGGGUCAUAGGCAGCAUUCCUCCUCCUCCAAACACGGCAAGUUGAGUUGAUGCCAAAAAAGCUCAAUUUUGGUCUCAUCUGACCACAACACUUUCACCCAGUUGUGCUCUGAAUCAUUCAGAUGUUCAUUGGCAAACUUCAGACGGGCAUGUAUAUGUGCUUUCUUGAGCAGGGGGACCUUGCGGGCGCUGCAGGAUUUCAGUCCUUCAUGGUGUAGUAUGUUACCAAUUGUUUUCUUGGUGACUAUGGUCCCAGCUGCCUUGAGAUCAUUGACAAGAUCCUCCUGUGUAGUUCUGGGAUGAUUCCUCACCGUUCUCAUGAUCCUUGCAACUCCACGAGGUGAGAUCUUGCAUGGAGCCCCAGGCCGAGGGAGAUUGACAGUUCUUUUGUGUUUCUUCCAUUUGCGAAUAAUCGCACCAACUGUUGUCACCUUCUCACCAAGCUGCUUGGCGAUGGUCUUGUAGCCCAUUCCAGCCUUGUGUAGGUCUACAAUCUUGUCCCUGACAUUCUUGGAGAGCUCUUUGGUCUUGGCCAUGGUGGAUAGUUUGGAAUAUGAUUGAUUGAUUGAUUGCUUCUGUGGACAGGUGUCUUUUAUACAGGUAACAAACUGAGAUUAGGAGCACUCCCUUUAAGAGUGUGCUCCUAAUCUCAGCUCGUUACCUGUAUAAAAGACACAUGGGAGCUAGAAAUCUUUCUGAUUGAGAGGAGGUCAAAUACUUAUUUCCCUCAUUAAAAUGCAAAUCAAUUUAUAACAUUUUUGACAUGCGUU